UCCCACAGCCUCCCACUGGCAGGCCCGAGUAUCAUCUGAAGCCACCCAGCUCUGUGCCUGCCUGCAGCCCCAGACCUCCAGCUUUCUACUAACGUCAGCAUUGCCUGCCCUGGGGCAACCCCUGUUUCUCCAUGUGUCUCCUCUGGGUCUGGUCAUGAUGCCUGGGGAGCCAAUGCUGCUUUGCUGUGUUGUAUCAUUUGGGAUCAACUUGCCUGACUCUUACAAAGGACUUGAAACCUUGGGGAGAUAAAUAAAAUUCAAGAUACCUCAGGCUCUCAGCAAGUCACAAGAAAACAAGAAAACAUGAUGCUGUCUGAGCAAUUGGUACAGGAAGCCUGGACACAUUGCUGAGGAAAUCAGAACUUCUUUGCAAAAGAUGGUGACAAUCUGUGGCCAAGAUGCUGCCGGGAGAUGAUUACAGGCACAGGAGAGGAGUUUCAGGCAGAAAACAAAAGAAGAGGGAACAUUUCACAACUCAUUUUAUGAAGCCAGCAUUACCUUGGUACCAAAACUGGGCAAAGACAGUACAAUAAAAUUUCAGACCAGUAUCCUUCAUGAACAUAGACACAAACACAAUCAACAAAAUAUUUCAGCAACAUUCAUCAACAAAUUCAAAUCCAACAAUACAUUAAAAGGAACAAUACACCAUGGCAAGGGCAAUUUAUCCCAAGAAUGUAAGGUUUGUUCAUCAAAAAUGAAUCAAUGGAACUGUCAAACUAUCAGUAUGAAGAAGAAAGAAACACAUGAUCAUAUUAAUUGAAGCAGAAAAAGCAUUUGGCAAACUAGAACAUGUAUUCAUGGUAAAAACUUUCAGCAAACUAAGAAUAAAAGAGAACUUCCCCAACUCUGUAAAGGGUGUCUACAAAAACCCUACAGCUAACAUCCUACUCCAUGCUGAAAGACUGAAUGCCCCUUAAUUCAGAAUAAGACAAAGAUAUUCUCUUCCACCAUCCAAAUGUUCUUCAACUAAUGGAUGAAUAAAUAGGCCGUGGUAGAUACAUACAAUGAAAUUGUACUCAGCAGUAAAAAGGAACAAGCUAUUGAUACACAUGACAGCCUGGAUAACACUAUGCUUAGUAAAAGGAAGCUAGUCUCAAAAAUUUACAGAUUGUAUUAUUCUAUUUAUUUGAUGGUCUCAAAAAAAGCACUGGAAGACAGGUCAGAGGUUGCCAGGGAUUAUAGGUGGGGAAGGUGAUGACCACAAAAUACAGCAUGAGGUGCUUUACUGAGGUGGUAGAGCUGUUCUUUAUCCUGAUUAUGGCAGUGUUCACAUGAAUCUAUACAUGUGUUAAAAUUCAUAGAAAUGUACACCAAAAAAGAAAAAAAGCAUCCCUGAGAAAUCCUUUAGGCCACCUGCAUUUGUUCAAACAGGAGGAUAUGGAAGCCAUUUCAGCCAGAAUAUAUUGCUGGGGAAACAAAUUCCAUGACCUCUCCUGGCGCUAGUCCUAGAACCAUCCAGCCUCCUGCCAACCACCACCUUCCUUUUCAGCGUCUCUUUCUCUGCCUCCUUCCUGCCAUCUGCAUCUCUGUGUGUUCACCUCCAAAUCUGCUCCCAGAAAAUAUUCUUGUGUCAACCACUGGAUAUGAGUCAGUGAGUUACCUUGUUCCAAGUUGUCUGCAUAUUAAGUCUUCAUUUUAAAUACCUAAUCAGAGUCUCUCCUUUAAGGGCAUUCCAGGCACCUAAGAGCAGAAAGGAGUUGUUUUGGGAAAUCCUUCCAGUGCCCAUGAAAUCACUUAUGUAGGCAGCUGCCUAUGGAUAAUGUUGGCCCCACUGCUGACUUUUUGGAACUUUCCAUUGUUCUCAGCAUUGCCUUUAAAUUCGGGUUUUUUUGUUUGUUUGUUUUUUCCCACAUGUCAUAAAAUGGCAGCCAGCAGAAAUCAAGGCUCUGUGCCUCCUUACUCAUAUUUUGCAGGAGAAAGGCAGCAUUAACGUAUCUUUCAAUCAUGGAAUAUAGCUGAGUUUUUUCCCAGGAGAUCCAUGGUCGCCUCUAAGCCAAUAACAAUUGCCAAGAGAAGGAAUGGGCUGUGUGUUGGACUAAUUAACAGAGGGAAAAUGUCUUUUACAGGGUCUUCAUCAGUAGACACAGUAAUGACGUUGGAACCUCUCAGACCCAGGUUCUAAUCCUGGCUUUCUCUUAGUUAUUUCAAGCUGACGAUUUUCUGCUUAAAAUAAAAUUUUAGAAGUUAUGCAUGAAGCAUUUGGUAGCUAGGAGGCACUCGAUAAACGCUACUAAAAUAAUUAUAACAACCCCAGAACCAGCUCAUUUAGCUGCCAAUAUCUGAAAGCAUCAUAGUGAUGGAAACAAAUGUGAAGAGGAAGUGAUGAUGUGACAGGUACGGUGGAACUGAAUGAGGAGAAUAAGAUAUUUCUAAUUCAUUACUCUCUUAGGUGAAACUUAAGCCAAAUAAGAUAUUUUUUAGUCCAUUAGUCUGUGAAGUUUUUAGCAACCCCUAGUGUACAAAACAGCUUAGAAAAAUUGUUUUUUUAUUCACCCUCUGUAUAGAAAUA
rnacentral:lncRNA from 1 species